rnacentral:lncRNA from 1 species
AGAGAAUGUGGUCUUUGUACAGACUGAUAAACCCACCUACAAGCCUGGACAGAAAGUAUCCAGUGAUCACCCUUCAGGAUCCAGAAGGCAAUCGAAUACAACAGUGGGUGAAUGAGGAGUCUGUGGGAGGGAUUCUACAACUCUCCUUCCAGUUAAUCUCAGAGCCCAUCCUCGGAUGGUAUGAAAUCACCGUGGAGAUGCUCAAUGAGAAGAAAACAUAUCACUCCUUCUCUGUGGAAGAAUAUGUGUUACCCAAAUUUCAAAUGACUGUGGAUGCACCAGAAAAUAUCUUAGUUGUGGACUCUGAAUUCAAAGUGAAUGUCUGUGCCUUAUAUACCUAUGGUGAACCUGUGGACGGGAAGGUCCAACUUAGUGUGUGCAGAGAAUCUACGGCUUAUCAUUCAUGUGCUCAUCUUAUCAGUUCACUCUGUAAAAAUUUUACCAUUCAGUUGGGGAAAGAUGGCUGUGUCUCCAAGUUUAUUAACACAGAUGCUUUUGAGUGAAAUCGGGAAGGAUACUGGAGUUUCCUCAAAGUGCAUGCUCUUGUUACAGAGGACGGAACAGAUUAAAUUGCUUAAUCCAGACAACUCUCCAAUCCCAAAUGAAGUUGUUCAGUUGCAUCUGAAGGACAAAAUCGUGGGAAACUACACCACAGAUGUAAAUGGCAUCGCUCAGUUUUUCUUGGACACAUAUACGUUUACAUACCCAAAUAUCACUUUGAAAGCAGCCUACAAGGCCAAUGAAAAUUGCCAGGCUCAUGGCUGGGUGUUGCCUCAAUACCCUCAGCCCGAGUACUUUGCAUAUCGAUUUUACUCCAAGAUGAAUAGCUUCCUAAAGAUUGUCCAAGAGAUGGAAGAACUGAGAUGCAACCAGCAGAAGAGGGUGCUAGUGCACUGCAUUCUCAAUAUGGAAGACUUUGAAGACAAAACCUACACAGCAGACUUCAAUUAUUUGGUGCUGUAUUAGCAAUUGUAACAAUAGAAGAAAUAGAAAAAGUAUAACUGGGGACAAAACAUAUAUUAGAAUUACGUGAUUUCAAAAGGUGUAAUCAUUCUUCAUGGGCAACAGAAAAUUGAGAUCAACGAAAAUGGGAGGAAGGGCAUAUUUUCCAUUUCUAUAGACAUUAACCCUGAAUUAGCGCCCUC